GGAGUUUAGCAUGUACGCGAGUCAUUGGGAAUUUCGAAACCCAAAGGCGCAAUGAAAGUGAAGGUUCGCCUCGCGCGUUCCGAGGGCCGAUGGGCGGCGGCUUCCGUCGCCCCGCAAGCCCGUGGCGUUCCGUACUCAUCGCGAGUUGGGGCGCACCCAGAGCGUACAUGCUGGGACCCGAAAGAUGGUGAACUAUGCCUGGUCAGGACGAAGCCAGGGGAAACCCUGGUGGAGGUCCGUAGCGAUUCUGACGUGCAAAUCGAUCGUAAGAACUGGGUAUAGGGGCGAAAGACUAAUCGAACCAUCUAGUAGCUGGUUCCCUCCGAAGUUUCCCUCAGGAUAGCUGGCGCUCUUGUGAAUACGAGUUUCAUCCGGUAAAGCGAAUGAUUAGAGGCAUUGGGGACGAAACGUCCUCAACCUAUUCUCAAACUUUAAAUGGGUGAGAACUCCGGCCUGCUCGAUGCAUGAGGCCGGAGAUUCGCGAAUCAGAGUGCCAAGUGGGCCACUCUUGGUAAGCAGGACUGGCGCUGUGGGAUGAACCAAACGUCGGGUUAAAGCGCCUAAUCGACACUCAUGGGACACCAUAAAAGGCGUUGGUAACUUAAGACAGCAGGACGGUUGCCAUGGAAGUC
rnacentral:rRNA from 1 species